CACGUAGGGCGCAAGCGUUGUCCGGAAUUAUUGGGCGUAAAGAGCUCGUAGGCGGUCUGUUGCGUCUGCUGUGAAACCCGGGGCUUAACCCCUGGCUUGCAGUGGAUACGGACAGACUAGAGGUAGGUAGGGGAGAAUGGAAUUCCCGGUGUAGCGGUGAAAUGCGCAGAUAUCGGGAGGAACACCGGUGGCGAAGGCAGCACUCUGGGACGUGACUGACGCUGAGACGCGAAAGCGUGGGGAGCGAACAGG
rnacentral:rRNA from 1 species